AGAGUUUGAUCCUGGCUCAGGACGAACGCUGGCGGCGUGCCUAACACAUGCAAGUCGAACGGACGAGGCCCUUCGGGGCCGAGUUAGUGGCGAACGGGUGAGUAACGCGUGAACAACCUGCCUCUUUGAGGGGGAUAACACCUGGAAACAAGUGCUAAUACCGCAUAAGACCACAUUACCGCAUGGUAAAGGGGUCAAAGGAGAAAUCCGCAGAGAGAGGGGUUCGCGUCCCAUUAGCUAGUUGGCGGGGCAACGGCCCACCAAGGCGACGAUGGGUAGCCGAGCUGAGAGGCUGAUCGGCCACACUGGAACUGAGACACGGUCCAGACUCCUACGGGAGGCAGCAGUGGGGAAUAUUGGGCAAUGGGCGAAAGCCUGACAAUGCGACGCUGCGUGGAGGAUGGAGGCCUUCGGGUCGUAAACUCCUGUCAUGGGGGAACAGGCGAGCGGACCCAACACGUCCGCGGGUUGAGUGUACCCCAAGAGGAAGCGACGGCUAACUCUGUGCCAGCAGCCGCGGUAAUACAGAGGUCGCGAGCGUUGUUCGGAUUUACUGGGCGUAAAGGGCGCGUAGGCGGCCGCGCGUGUCAGAUGUGAAAUCUCCGGGCCCAACCCGGAAAGUGCGUCUGAGACUGCGCGGCUCGAGUGCGGAAGGGGGAAUCGGAAUGCAGGGUGUAGCGGUGAAAUGCGUUGAUAUCCUGCAGAACACCGGAGGCGAAGGCGGAUUCCUUGUACGCGACUGACGCUGAGGCGCGAAAGUCGGGGGAGCGAACAGGAUUAGAUACCCUGGUAGUCCCGACCUUAAACGGUGCACGCUCGGGGUGGGGCCCUUUCACCGGCCCCGUCCCUCAGCUAACGCGUUAAGCGUGCCGCCUGGGGAGUACGGCCGCAAGGCUAAAACUCAAAGAAAUUGACGGGGGCCCGCACAAGCAGAGGAGCAUGUGGCUUAAUUCGAUGCAACGCGAAGAACCUUACCUGGGCUUGACAUGUGCCUGCGCGGCCCGCGAAAGCGGGCCUCCUUCGAGGGGGGCACACAGGUGCUGCAUGGCUGUCGUCAGUUCGUGCCGUGAGGUGUUUGGUUAAGUCCACCAACGAACGCAACCCCUUUGCGAUGUUGCCAGCGGGUCAUGCCGGGGACUCGUCGCAGACUGCCCGUUCACGCGGGAGGAAGGUGGGGAUGACGUCAAGUCAGUAUGGCCCUUACGCCCAGGGCCGCACACGUGCUACAAUGGCGCAUACAGAGCGACGCGAGGCCGCGAGGCGGAGCGAGCCGCGCAGAGUGCGCCCCAGUUCGGAUCGGGGUCUGCAACCCGACCCCGUGAAGUCGGAUUUGCUAGUAACGGCGCAUCAGCUACGGCGCCGUGAAUGCGUUCCCGGGCCUUGCACAAACCGCCCGUCA
rnacentral:rRNA from 1 species